AGCCCAGAACGAACAAACCAAAACCUCUAGAGAGGGCCGUCCUUUUGACGUUACCUGAAGGCCACCUCAGGUUCUACUACACACAUGGAAAGGGAGGGAUGAGAGAAGGGGUAUUCAGCUGGUGGCAAUCUGCAACCUCACUGCUAGAUGCCACAAAAUCCUACAAAUGGUCCUUAAAAUUGCUG